GAUGAACGCUGGCGGCGUGCCUAAUACAUGCAAGUCGAGCGAACAGACGAUGAGCUUGCUCCUCUGACGUUAGCGGCGGACGGGUGAGUAACACGUGGAUAACCUACCUAUAAGACUGGGAUAACUUCGGGAAACCGGAGCUAAUACCGGAUAAUAUAUUGAACCGCAUGGUUCAAUAGUGAAAGACGGUUUUGCUGUCACUUAUAGAUGUAUCCGCGCCGCAUUAGCUAGUUGGUAAGGUAACGGCUUACCAAGGCAACGAUGCGUAGCCGACCUGAGAGGGUGAUCGGCCACACUGGAACUGAGACACGGUCCAGACUCCUACGGGAGGCAGAAGUAGGGAAGCUUCCGCAAUGGGCGAAAGCCUGACGGAGCAACGCCGCGUGAGUGAUGAAGGUCUUCGGAUCGUAAAACUCUGUUAUUAGGGAAGAACAAAUGUGUAAGUAACUAUGCACGUCUUGACGGUACCUAAUCAGAAAGCCACGGCUAACUACGUG
rnacentral:rRNA from 1 species